CAGAAAAUCCCCGAACUUAAACUUCCUUUCUCUCUGCAAAAAAAUUAAGGAAUACUUAAACUGAUUUUCAAUAGGUUAUUUCAAAAGAUCAUUUUUCUUAUAGGAAAGUUUGAAAAAUGAAAACUUCGAACAAAUUUUGAAAGAUUGUGAUGAGGCGUUUAAAUUGAAAAAAGAGUAAUUCGAGAUUAAAGGUGAAAAACAGAUGAAACUUCAAGCGGGGUUGAAGAAUCAAUGAAUUCUUAUUUCAAAAUUUUUUUUUGAAAGAAUUCAAGCUUCCUGUGGUAGAGUCUGCAACCGGUGCAAUCUUUAGUUAAGAGAGAGAGGAGUAGAAAAGUACAGUGAUAAUAAGAACUUAAGAACAAUACAAAGAUAAAAAAAAACUAUCUCCAGCUUAAGCUGUUCUGCUGAUGUGUUUUAAGUGAAGAUCAAUGCGCGGAGGUUAAGAAACAAACCCAUAUGUAAUAUUCUAAACAUUCCAGCUCGAUCUAGAUUUAAUUUUUGUUCUAUAUUUUGUUCAGUAGUCGAUCAAACAAUUUUGAACACUUUCUUUGAUGUUUAGAUUAAAGACACUUUGUUUC